UACGAAGGGGGCUAGCGUUGUUCGGAAUCACUGGGCUUAAAGGGCGCGUAGGCGGACCGUCAAGUCAGGGGUGAAAGCCCGCGGCUCAACCGCGGAAGUGCCUUUGAUACUGGCGGUCUCGAGGGAGGUAGGGGCGUGCGGAACUUCCGGUGGAGCGGUGAAAUGCGUAGAUAUCGGAAGGAACGCCGGUGGCGAAAGCGGCGGGCUGGACCUCUUCUGACGCUGAGGCGCGAAAGCCAGGGGGAGCAAACGGGGAUUAGAAA
rnacentral:rRNA from 1 species